AUAGGGAAUAGUUUCAAUGGAGUGAAUUGACGACCACCAACUCAGAUCUUUGUAAGAAAAAAAAUAAAGAUCAAGUGACAAUCUAAUAUAUUUUUAAAAACUUCUUCACAAUUUCUUGGUUGUGCAACAUGAGCUGAUCAGCGUGGGAGCACCUUAAGGCCCUCCUCUAGACAGCUGCAGUUUGUGCAGAAACCAAUCUAAUGAGAAAAUUACUUAAAACCAUCACAGUUGGGAUGCAUGUCUAGAAAACCACUUUUUUUUUCUAAAUCACCAUCUUUUUUGGGGCUGGAGGUACUCCCGCACACUGAUUUCGCGGUUGAUUGCGUGCUGACGGUAAAACUGACAGGGGGCCCACCUGUGGGUGCCACCGUGGCGCCAACGUGGCUUUUUUCGAUCCGACGUAGACUUUUCCCCUGUCUUUGGCUCCGAGUCCGUUCCCUUGCCCCCGUCCGUGUCGUCCGCGCCGCAGUUCGUCUGUACGAGGGCCACCUCGCCUACCUGUGCCGCCGGCAAUCCAAGAAGAGAAUCGAGAUGCGAGGCCCAAGAGCUCCGACGGCCAUCAACUGCCGCGUCUUCCAGCCGACUGAUGGCGCUCGUGGGCGGCAGCAGCGAAUGCGUGGGCCCGGUACAGGGAGACCUCCUGCAGGUAGGCGACGCCAAGGCCGGAGGAAGAGGAGGCGCCCGAGCCGGAGCUGGACACGCCCCUCGUCGAGCCAUGCCCGACCCGCGCGUGCUCCAUGAACGCAAGGACCACGGGGCACUUGCACAGCCUCUGUAGGAGCAGCAGCGCCCGCUCCGCCACGAAGAAGAAGUGCGGGCACGCGUGCUCCGACGAGGACGAGCUCUUCGGCGCCGCCGUGGGCGCCUCGCCGUCGCACGACCGUUGCAGCGGGCGCCAAGCUACACCAACCGCGUCAUCGGCUCCGCCUCGACAUGUACUUCCUCCUAGCACAAGGAAUCGAGCCGAAUUCGACUACAGCGAGCGCAUGAUCUACUCCUUCUUCUACGGCAGCCGCCGCUUCUCCGGUAAAAUUCCGGAGGCUCGUCCUCGGGAAGCUCGUCAUCUUCCUCCUACGGAAUCUACACAUGGGGAAGAGGAUGGCAGAAGCGACGUGGUAGAUCCUCUGCUGGAGAAGGCCGGCGACCGGGUGAUGACGAGCUGCACGGCCGCCGGAGGAGCGACGAUGCGGGGGCGCUCCAGGCAGCAGCGGGCUUGGCAGAGGGCUCCGGUGGCUUCGCAAAGGAGAGGCGGACGUCCCAGCGACGGUAUGGACGCGGGGGAGGCUCCGGUCGGGCGGAUGGGGAGCGGCGGCGCAUUGCCGGAAGCGUGGAAGACACCCUAGAGGUCGACGGGGAGGGGCCGGGGUCAGAUUAGGGAGUUGGCCGGAAUUGGAGAAGAAAAAGGAGGGAGAGGAGGACUCAGGCAGGGGAUGGACAGGUGGACGAGAUGUCCACGUUGGCGCCACGGUGGCACCAACAGGUGGACCCCCUGUUAGUUUUAGUGUCAAAACGCAAUCAACUGCGAAAUCAGUGUGCGGGAGUAUCUCCAGCCCCAAAAACGUUGGUGGUUUGACUUUUCUUUUUUCUUAAAAAUGGUUUUCCUAGACAUGUGCUUCAAAUGUGGUGGUUUAAAGUAAUUUUUUCCAGUCCAAUCUUAACUCUAGUGUGGAAAGUCAUGAAAAGAUAGUCUCCCUAUUUCAAA